rnacentral:rRNA from 1 species
GAUGAACGCUGGCGGUGUGCCUAAUACAUGCAAGUCGAGCGAACAGACGAGGAGCUUACUCCUCUGACGUUAGCGGCGGACGGGUGAGUAACACGUGGAUAACCUACCUAUAAGACUGGGAUAACUUCGGGAAACCGGAGCUAAUACCGGAUAACAUGUUGAACCGCAUGGUUCAACAGUGAAGAAGGUUUUUCCUUCACCUUAUGGAGGAAUCCGCGUCGCAUUAGCUAGUUGUUAAGGUAACGGCUUACCAAGGCAACGAUGCGUAGCCGACCUGAGAGGGUGAUCGGCCACACUGGAACUGAGACACGGUCCAGACUCCUACGGGAGGCAGCAGUAGGAAAUCUUCCGCAAUGGGCGAAAGCCUGACGGAGCAACGCCGCGUGAGUGAAGAAGGUCUUCGGAUCGUAAAACUCUGUUAUUAGGGAAGAACAAAUGUGUAAGUAACUAUGCACGUCUUGACGGUACCUAAUCAGAAAGCCACGGCUAACUACGUG